GAUGAACGCUGACAGAAUGCUUAACACAUGCAAGUCAACUUGAAUUUGGGUUUUUAACUUAGGUUUGGGUGGCGGACGGGUGAGUAACGCGUAAAGAACUUGCCUCACAGCUAGGGACAACAUUUGGAAACGAAUGCUAAUACCUAAUAUUAUGAUAAUAGGUCAUCCUAUAAUUAUGAAAGCUAUAAGCGCUGUGAGAGAGCUUUGCGUCCCAUUAGCUAGUUGGAGAGGUAACGGCUCACCAAGGCGAUGAUGGGUAGCCGGCCUGAGAGGGUGAUCGGCCACAAGGGAACUGAGACACGGCCCUUACUCCUACGGGAGGCAGCAGUGGGGAAUAUUGGACAAUGGACCGAGAGUCUGAUCCAGCAAUUCUGUGUGCACGAUGAAGUUUUUCGGAAUGUAAAGUGCUUUCAGUUGGGAAGAAACAAAUGACGGUACCAACAGAAGAAGUGACGGCUAAAUACGUG
rnacentral:rRNA from 1 species